UUUGCUCCGAUGCUCUAGAUUACGCGAAGACCUUACCAAGGCUUGACAUAUAGAGGAAAAGUGCAGAAAUGUACUCCCCGUAAGGUCUCUAUACAGGUGGUGCAUGGUUGUCGUCAGCUCGUGUCGUGAGAUGUUGGGUUAAGUCCCGCAACGAGCGCAACCCUCGUCCUAUGUUGCCAGCACGUUAUGGUGGGAACUCAUGGGAUACUGCCGGGGUCAACUCGGAGGAAGGUGGGGAUGACGUCAAAUCAUCAUGCCCCUUAUGUCUUGGGCUUCACGCAUGCUACAAUGGCCGGUACAGAGGGCUGCAAUACCGCAAGGUGGAGCGAAUCCCAAAAAGCCGGUCUCAGUUCGGAUUGAGGUCUGCAACUCGACCUCAUGAAGUCGGAGUCGCUAGUAAUCGUAGAUCAGCAACGCUACGGUGAAUACGUUCCCGGGUCUUGUA
rnacentral:rRNA from 1 species